rnacentral:rRNA from 1 species
AUUGAACGCUGGCGGCAUGCCUUACACAUGCAAGUCUAACGGCAGCACGGGGCAACCUGGUGGCGAGUGGCGAACGGGUGAGUAAUGCAUCGGAACGUGCCAUUGAGUGGGGGAUAACGUAGCGAAAGUUGCGCUAAUACCGCAUAUUCUGUGAGCAGGAAAGCAGGGGACCGCAAGGCCUUGCGCUCUUUGAGCGGCCGAUGUCAGAUUAGCUAGUUGGUGAGGUAACGGCUUACCAAGGCGACGAUCUGUAGCGGGUCUGAGAGGAUGAUCCGCCACACUGGAACUGAGACACGGUCCAGACUCCUACGGGAGGCAGCAGUGGGGAAUUUUGGACAAUGGGCGCAAGCCUGAUCCAGCCAUGCCGCGUGAGUGAAGAAGGCC